rnacentral:rRNA from 1 species
GACGAACGCUGGCGGCGUGCUUAACACAUGCAAGUCGAACGGAAAGGCCCUGCUUUUGUGGGGUGCCCGAGUGGCGAACGGGUGAGUAACACGUGAGUAACCUGCCCUUGACUUUGGGAUAACUUCAGGAAACUGGGGCUAAUACCGGCUAGGAGCUCCUGCUGCAUGGUGGGGGUUGGAAAGUUUCGGCGGAUGGGGAUGGACUCGCGGCUUAUCAGCUUGUUGGUGGGGUAGUGGCUUACCAAGGCAUUGACGGGUAGCCGGCCUGAGAGGGUGACCGGCCACAUUGGGACUGAGAUACGGCCCAGACUCCUACGGGAGGCAGAAGUGGAGAGUAUUACACAAUGGGCGGAAGCCUGAUGCAGCAGCGCCGCGUGCGGGAUGACGGCCUUCGGGUUGUAAACCGCUUUCGCCUGUGACGAAGCGUGAGUGACGGUAAUGGGUGAAGAAGCACCGGCUAACUACGUG